rnacentral:rRNA from 1 species
UGGGGAAUUUUGGACAAUGGGCGCAAGCCUGAUCCAGCCAUGCCGCGUGCGGGAAGAAGGCCUUCGGGUUGUAAACCGCUUUUGUCAGGGAAGAAACGGUCUGGGCUAAUACCCCGGACUAAUGACGGUACCUGAAGAAUAAGCACCGGCUAACUACGUGCCAGCAGCCGCGGUAAUACGUAGGGUGCAAGCGUUAAUCGGAAUUACUGGGCGUAAAGCGUGCGCAGGCGGUUAUGCAAGGCAGAUGUGAAAUCCCCGGGCUUAACCUGGGAACUGCAUUUGUGACUGCAUAGCUAGAGUACGGUAGAGGGGGAUGGAAUUCCGCGUGUAGCAGAGAAAUGCGUAGAUAUGCGGAGGAACACCGAUGGCGAAGGCAAUCCCCUGGACCUGUGCUGACGCUCAUGCACGAAAGCGUGGGGAGCAAACA